CCGCCACCCCCUCCUCCUCCUCCGCCCUCGUCGGCCUCACCCUCCUCCGCCGCGCCGAGGAGAAGGGCGCGCUGUGCUUGGACGGGAGCGCGCCGGGGUACCAUCUGCAGAGAGGGUCAGGGAGUGGGUCUCAGAGCUGGCUCAUCCACUUGGAGGGUGGAGGCUGGUGCCAUUAAAAAUUUACUGCCAUUAAAAAUGUGAUUACACAAGGUUUUUGGAUUCUUCCCACAAGACCUGCAUCCUAAAUUUACUGCCAUUAAAAAUUUACUGGUAUACAGCAGCAGUGCUCAUUCAUUCAUUGCCUGCCAAAAUGGACAGUUUUUUCAUGUCACCCACCCUUCCGCGUGUGUUUUACCUUGAGAAAAUGCAUUCCACUCAAAGACAGCCCAUUUUGUACACUUUUUCGUUUGAUAGAUCUAAGGAGGCAGAAAAGUUCUCUUUUAGUCAUCUUUAUUGCAGUCAAUGUCUCCACCACUCUGAUAUCCUCAGUAUCAUGGUUGUGCUCUGAAUCUCCAAGCAAAUCAUAUUGGUUGUGAUGAUUGACUAAAACAUAAGAAGUUUUCAGGUGGUUGCAUUGUUUCUUGCUACCAACACCCGUAGUUUCUUUCUUUGUUUCAGUCUAUUUUUCUAUUUCUGCUUUAACAUAACGGAAUAACUAAUGGUGGCUGCCUAAUGAUGACAGACUAAGUUUCUGAUUUAUUUUGUUAUAGAAGUGUAGAUUCAUUGGUAGCAAUUGUUUUCAGUGUCUCAUGUUGCUUGUAGUGUUUUGUCCAAAAUGUUGAA